UCUCUCUCUCGUCAUUACAGUUUUAUGUUUUUUUCCGUGGAGAAAAUGAUGGAAGCUGAAAUUCCGGACUUUUGAAGAAUUUUAAAAAUUACUUCCGGGAGAAGAUUUCGAAACCUAAAUGGAGGAUAUGUCCAGGAAAAUACGGACCUAUGACAACCCUACUACGGUAACAUUAUCUUCUCACUGACUACAUCAGGUCUCUAUACCCCCGUUAAGCGAGAAUCAGCGUCCGAAUCCAACGACGAACCAGAACCAGGCCAAUAAGACAUAAAGGUGGGAGAGGGUGGAUGUAACAAAGGGACAUCAGAAGGCCGUCCCACACAGACAUCUCUCACCACAAUCUACAAAACAGGAGGCAGAACAGGUCAAGAACAGUCCCUUAAAACUGUACAAUAAGUCAGUGUGAGGAUUAGUGAAUACUGUAUCUUCAGGAGAAGUUUGUAAGCAUGAUUAAUGUUAAUUGUCAACUGUGUAAAUCAUAAGUUACAAAUAUGAAAGUCAAGUUAGUGAUCCUUGGAAACUGAGGAUGAAAAGAAGGUUCACACAAGUGAAUCUUUCUCCUGAAAAUAUUGCACUGUUAAAUGUUGUUUAAAUACAACAUGAUGAUUAUUGUAAUGUUUUACCUUAAACAAGACCUUGUGACUAAUGCUUGUGAUCACUGGUGAGAAAGUUCCAAUACAGUACAGUACAUAAAUGUGGCAAGUGUUUGUCUCCACUGCUUGUGUACUGUUGAGAUAAAGUUAACUUUUGGUUAAGGUUUCCUUGUGCAAGAGUAACCUCCAUAACCACCUACAUGUGGUGACUUAUGAAUAGGAACCAUUUACCUGUGACGACUGGGAUUUAUAUUGUUUCUAUACUUUGAGUAUAAUAUCUCAAUGGUCUGUCCAUUGAUGAAAUAUUAUUUUGUACAAACUUUUGUAAAUUACAGUUUGUAAAAAAUGGCUGAUUUUGUUGGUCAAAUGGCCAGACAUGAUGACGAGGGAAAGUGUCUGUGUGUAUAUUGUGGUAAUGAUGCUUUACAAACGCAUACCUAUAUGACUGAACACGCUGAUGUGAUAGAUAUUAAAUAUGAAGAAGUUGAUGAAAGCUUUGACAGUAACUGUGAAACAACACAACAUGUGGCUCUGCUUGCUGAGAAAGAUAUCAAGUGUGAAGCAUUUGAUGUAAGUUAUAACAGUAACUCUGAUGAGACACAACAUGUGACUGUUGAUGGGAAAGAUAUCAAGUGUGAAGCAUUUGAUGUAAGUUUUAACAGUAACUCUGAUGAGACACAACAUGUGACUGUUGCUGAGAAAGAUAUCAAGUGUGAAGCAUUUGAUGUAAGUUUUAACAGUAACUCUGAUGAGACACAACAUGUGACUGUUGCUCAGGAAAAUGUUAAAUGCCAAGAAAUUGGUAAAUGUUAUAACAGAGAGAAUCAGCUGAAGGAACAUAUGGUACACAUUGAGAACAAUUUGGAGUGUGGUAAAAGGAUUUAUUCACAGUACAAUCAUGUAAAUCAGCAUUUGGAUAUGCUCACUGCAGAGAAAAAAUAUAAGUGUGAAGAGUGUAGGAAAAGUUUUUCCAGAUAUGGCGAUCUGAAGAAACAUUUGCUUAUACACACUGGUGAGAAACCUUUUAAGUGCGAAGAGUGUGGUAAAAAAAUUUCCAGAAAGAGUAAUCUGAAGAAACACAGGGAUAUACACACUAAGAAAACUUCUAAGUGUGAAGAGUGUGGUAAAAGAUUUUCUAGAAAGAGCGAUCUGAGCAAACAUUUGCUUAUACACACUAAUGAGAAACAUUAUAAGUGUGAAGAGUGUGGGAAAAGUUUCUGCACAAAGAAUAGUCUGAAGAAGCAUUUGGUUGUACACACUGAUGAGAAACUUUUUAAGUGUGAAGAGUGUGGCAAAGGUUAUUAUCUAAAGAAUGAGCUGAAGGUACACAUGCUUGUACACAAAGGUGAGAAACCUUUUAAGUGUGAAGAGUGUGGUAAAGGUUUCUAUACAGAGAAGAGUCUGAAGAAGCAUUUGGUUGUACACACUGGUGAGAAACCUUUUAAGUGUGAAGAGAGUGGGAAAGGUUUCUAUGCAAAAAACAGUCUGAAGAAGCAUUUGGUUGUACACACUGGUGAGAAACCCUUUAAGUGUGAAGAGUGUGGGAAAGGUUUCUAUACAAAGAACAGUCUGAAGAAGCAUUUGGUUGUACACACUGGUGAGAAACCCUUUAAGUGUGAAGAGUGUGGGAAAGGUUUUUCCAGAAAGGAAGAUCUGAAAAAUCAUUUGCCUAGACACACGGGUGAAAAAAUUUUUAAGUGUGAAGAGUGUGGCAAAGGUUUCUAUGUAGAGAAAAGUCUGAAGAAGCAUUUGGUUGUACACACUGGUGAGAAACCCUUUAAGUGUGAAGAGUGUGGGAAAGGUUUUUCCAGAAAGGAAGAUCUGAAAAAUCAUUUGCCUAGACACACGGGUGAAAAAAUUUUUAAGUGUGAAGAGUGUGGCAAAGGUUUCUAUGUAGAGAAAAGUCUGAAGAAGCAUUUGGUUGUACACACUGGUGAGAAACCCUUUAAGUGUGAAGAGUGUGGGAAAGGUUUUUCCAGAAAGGAAGAUCUGAAAAAUCAUUUGCCUAGACACACGGGUGAAAAAAUUUUUAAGUGUGAAGAGUGUGGCAAAGGUUUCUAUGUAGAGAAAAGUCUGAAGAAGCAUUUGGUUGUACACACUGGUGAGAAACCCUUUAAGUGUGAAGAGUGUGGGAAAGGUUUUUCCAGAAAGGAAGAUCUGAAAAAUCAUUUGCCUAGACACACGGGUGAAAAAAUUUUUAAGUGUGAAGAGUGUGGGAAAGGUUUCUAUACAAAGAACAGUCUGAAGAAGCAUUUGGUUGUACACACUGGUGAGAAACCCUUUAAGUGUGAAGAGUGUGGGAAAGGUUUUUCCGGAAGGGCAGUUCUGAAAAAUCAUUUGCCUAGACACACGGGUGAAAAAAAUUUUAAGUGUGAAGAGUGUGGCAAAGGUUUCUAUGUAGAGAACAGUCUGAAGAAGCAUUUGGUUGUACACACUGGUGAGAAACCCUUUAAGUGUGAAGAGUGUGGGAAAGGUUUCUAUGUAAAGAACAGUCUGAAGGAGCAUUUGAUUGUACACACUGGUGAGAAACCUUUUAAGUGUGAAGAGUGUGGUAAAGGUUACUAUGCAAAAAACAGUCUGAAGAAGCAUUUGAUUGUACACACUGGUGAGAAACCUUUUAAGUGUGAAGAGUGUGGUAAAGGUUUCUAUGCAAAAAACAGUCUGAAGAAGCAUUUGGUUGUACACACUGGUGAGAAACCUUUUAAGUGUGAAGAGUGUGGGAAAGGUUUCUAUGCAAAAAACAGUCUGAAGAAGCAUUUGGUUGUACACACUGGUGAGAAACCCUUUAAGUGUGAAGAGUGUGGGAAAGGUUUCUAUGUAAAGAACAGUCUGAAAAGGCAUUUGGUUAGACACACUGAUUGAGAAACUUUACAAUGAGAAGAGUGGUAAAAAAAUUCCAUAAAGGAUCGUCUCAAGAGACUUAGGUGUGUGCACACUGGUGAAAAAAAUUUUAAGUGUGAAGUGUGUGAUAAAAAUUUAUUCCAGAAAGAGUGACCUGAAGCAACAUGUGUGUAUGCUGCACACUGGUUAAAAUAUUUAUUGUGAAGCGUGUGGUAAUAGCUUUUCCACAAAGAAAGUGAAGACACACAUUGUACACACUGGUGAGACAAAUUGUACUUAUGAAGAGUGUGGUAAAAGUGUUUGCUUUCAUUUUAUAUUUUGCUUUUUCCUCUUUGCCACUGAUCAGCUCGUUAGCUGCUUGGGCGGUCGGUAACGUCUCUGUUACGCACUAUUGGCAAGUACUGGGCAUACACUGGCUCUUGAAUACUGUAUAUCGGAACCUACCCCAGUGUUGGUCAAGUCUGGCCUUGAAUGAGAUCACACUCGGUGUCCUCACAACACUGGCAGAUUGCUCCAAGUGUUCAAAAUUCUCACUUCAACCUUGAGCUGUGACCCCUUGUGAGGUGGGCAUCUAACUUCUUCAGUACUUGAGUACUUUAUGGAUGAGAUACUUUUGUACUUCUACUUGAGUAUAUUGAACUUUGGAUACUUUUACUUCUACUUGAAUUACAUUUUGCCAAAAUCUCACUUAAGUAACAAAGUCCAGUACUAUUUACAACUGUGCUCACUGGUAAGAAAAAUUUUAAGUGUGAAGGUUGGGGAAAUAGUGUUUUAUACCAGUGAAAUUCUGAAACAACAUAUGGUUAUGCACUGCUUAGUUAGUUUCCUGGAUUUUCUGCACAAAAACUUGGAGAAACGUAAGACAUCACAGGCCGUUGCCCUUGUUGACUUCAGGAAGGCUUUUGACCUUGUUGAUCACUGCACUAUUA
rnacentral:misc_RNA from 1 species